UACACACCGAGAGGCGUUGUAUCAUGGAUGAAAAAUAAUAAUAUAAAACGGGGAAAUAAUCGUAUAAAAAUGGAUAUAUGAGACUUGCAGUGCGCGCAUAUGUGCGCGUCAGAGGGAAAGAGCGCGCAUUUGUAUGUUAAAAAAAAGAAAAAAAAACACCGUGCAUGUGAUGAGAGAGAGGGGGAGAGAGAGAAAGAGAGAGAGAGAGAUUUUACUCAUUGUAAUGCACAGAACGACCUGCCCUCUUUUGAAAAAAAAGCGAGAAAGCGCAGCCAUGCUUUGCAGAGGCUACAGCAUCGCUCUCAUUGGUAGUACCAGCUUCUCGCCAAACGGAGUCUUUGCUUGUUCGCCACUGUACGCCGACGGAAACCGGGAAUACAAGCGACUGCCUCCGUGAUGUAAAGAUCUGCAGUGAAGCAAUGACGCUUCAAAGAAGUGAAAAAAGCAGCAGAGCACGGAUAAAUAUUAGCAGAGAGCACAGUGUACGGGGAUCCACAAUGCGACGUGAAGCAUAUCAUGGUGCAUUAUGGGAUAAUGGAGGACUUUAAUGCUUUCUGCAGUUUUGGACAAAGCUGUCGACAGACACGGAUCAAACGGAGCCAUUUGUCGCCUGCAAACGCGGCCUGGGACGUAUAAUUAUUUUGCCUCCAACACUGCUCACUGGCUGUUUUGCGUCAAAAGUCAUUACUGUAACUUAACCUCUUUUUCUCCAGUUGCUUCUUUAAAUAAAAAGGUAGGUAGGCCUGCAACCGGGACCGGAUUUGAUCCGUUUUGGGAUUUCUUUGGGCAUUUUUUGUUCCAUUUUUGACCAACCUUCACGUCUCAAAAAGCUGUUUGUCACACUGGCCUCGGAGGCUUUUCAGAAUAUAAUGAUUAUAUAUAUAUGUGUGUGUAGAAACGGGUGUCUUGGAAAGGUGUCUGCAGCUGGUGGUCAAACACACACAGAGAAGCGGGUUGUGUCUCUCCGUGUUCACAGCGGACCUUGAUUUAAUGUCUUACAAUUAAGGCACGCGGUGAAUGCCAAGAGCUGAUCCUCCUUUCUUCGCGAGUCUACAUAUCCAAGAUAUAAAAGCAAGAAAUUGUUUAUCUACUAGUUUUAUAAUAAUAAAAAUGAUAUUGUUACGUUAAUGCAGUGAACGCAUGUUUCCGUUUUUCACACUGUAACACGUUAUUCUCGUACUGCUUUCCUCUUUCCAACAAUAAAGUUUAUACACUCAGUCAUUUUAAAA